CAGCCGUAAACUAUACUCGCUAGGUGUCAGGCAUGGCGCGACCGUGUCUGGUGCCGCAGGGAAGCCGUGAAGCGAGCCACCUGGGAAGUACGGCCGCAAGGCUGAAACUUAAAGGAAUUGGCGGGGGAGCACAACAACGGGUGGAGCCUGCGGUUUAAUUGGACUCAACGCCGGACAACUCACCGGGGACGACAGCAAUAUGUAGGCCAGGUUGAAGACCUUGCCUGAAUCGCUGAGAGGAGGUGCAUGGCGUAGACGUCU
rnacentral:rRNA from 1 species